ACCGAUGAUUGAGCCUCUCUGGGAACAACAGUCAAGAUCAGCAGCUCUUAAAACUGAGAGUAAAGAUUCACAUGCAGCAGGGCCCCUAAUCCAGAGAGUGAAACAUGGGCUCUACCCAGAAAGGCUCCAUGUCUCAGGCAGCCAAGAUGACUAAAGUCCCGCUUAAAGUUUCUGCUCCCAUGCAGCGAGGGUCUGAGGUCACCCAACGAGGCCCUUGUGUUGGCCACAGAGGUGCAGAUUUGAACCGGAGCAUGUCCCCCCAACGUGGACUGGAAAGCCGUCAAACUGUUGCCUCCCAAAGAGGGCUAGAAGUCCCUCGAGCUGUUUCCCCCCAGUAUGGGUUUGAAUUCUCCCGAGCUUGCUCUCCCCAAGGGUUUGAAUCUGGUUCUAGCCAUCCAAAGGCCGAAGCGACCCGUCAUGGCUCACCUCAACGCAAACCUGAAUACAGCACAGCUUCCCAUGUGAAUUUGCUUGCCCCGCCAGGGAGAGUGCAGAUGAGAUCUGAUGGUCCUUGCCAUGGUAGCACCCUUAGGACCCACAGUCCAACAAUACAGGAACAAACACAGAAAAAUAUGGUUGCCCCAAGGCAAGAGAGCCAUCGGAGCUUAUUUCCCUCAGAUGUCAAAAUCUCUUCCCGGGUACCGUGCUCGAUUCCUUCGGUUACUAUAUCGAGCUGUCAGUGGGAUGCGGAACCACCACCUUCCAGGGUUACAAACCCUCAAGGGGUCCGAAGCCCUCGAAGGCGUUCAGUUCAGCCCAAGGAUGAGUGUACUCAGACUGAUAUCAAAAAGAAUUUGGUCUAUUCUGAGAGUAAAAGUGUCUCAAGGAAAACACCCUGCUCAGAUGCAGCCCAUACUGCGCUGGAGACCAAACCAACCCAAAGAAUUGUGCAAGACAUUCAUCCAUGUGCCCGCAGCAUGAUCCAUGCAGAAACGAAGGCAUCCCACAGAAACUUGGGGUCUUUAGAAGUAGAGUCAGCUGUGAAGGUUUCAUUCCGAAAGGAUCCUGAUCAUUCACAAAAAGUCAUAAGCCGAUCAGAAAUUGAAACAGUUCAAAGGCAGGUUCCAUCUCCCACCAGGGUGGCAAUAUGCCAGGAGGCAGAGUCAGCUAUCAAGACCAUCCGUCCGGGGCGAGACUCACGGAGAGUCACCAUCCUAACAGAGUCCGAGUCCUCCUCUCCGUGUCCUUGCAGGCAAACGAGCGAUCCUUGCCACAAACCUCCAAUUAAGCCACCAUGUUCUGAAGUCCCCCCAAAGGUUGCUGCUGUUACAGAGCCAGAAUUAACCCCUCGCCCUCUACCACCCAGGUCCUUACCCAAGUACGGUCCUGAGUCUUCAUGGUGGAUCUUGUUCCACCCAGAACCUCCCGAGCCUCCAAAGUGUGAGACCCUCCUGACGCAGUCUGAACACCGGUCAUCUCAUCUGGACCUUUUCAUGUCCCAGAUAGAGAUAGCCUCGGCUUACUGUGAAGAACUAAUCAUACAGAAUGAGAAGGCAACUUCUCCUGAACCACAGUGUCCAUGUAAGCCUUCCAGUAGAGUGUCAUCCAGGGAUUUGCUGAAGUCUGCUCUGCAGCCCUUGGAGUCACCCGAAUGCAUGGAGGAUGGAACCAUUCAAAGGUUUAGUGCUUUCUUCCUGGAUGUUACCGAUGAGAUGCUUAAUCGGGUCAUCUGGUGGUUGAAAGAUGAUGAGAUUAAGCGGUUCCUAGAAGACACAGAGGAGGCCGAGCUGGCAGUGUUUGUAAAAGAGUUCCCUGGGGGUGACGUGCCCCAUCCAGAGGCAAUAUGCCCUUCCCAAGUGCACCUCCCUGCUCUCCUGGAUCCCUGUGAAGAGUCAGAGCUCAAGGAGUGCAGAACCUCCUCUCGGUUCCAGACAGAAAGCCAGGCUCACCUCUGCAUCUCUUCCUCAAGCAUGCUCAGCACCUCAAGCCGGCCUCGGAGCCCUUGGGGCAGGCUGGACCCUUAUGACUCCUCUGAGGAUGAUAAAGAGUAUGUGGGGUUUGCCACUCUUCCCAACCAGGUUCAUCGAAAAUCUAUGAAAAAGGGUUUUGACUUCACCCUCAUGGUGGCAGGAGAGUCUGGGCUGGGCAAAUCCACUCUUAUCAACAGCCUCUUCCUCACUGACAUGUACCGGGACCGAAGAUUAUUGAAUUCUGAAGAACGGAUCAUGCAAACAGUGGAGAUCACUAAACAUACCGUGGACAUCGAGGAGAAAGGUGUCAAGCUGAAGCUCACGGUCGUGGACACACCAGGUUUUGGAGAUGCUGUGAACAACACUGAGUGCUGGAAGCCAGUGGCAGAUUACAUCGACCAGCAAUUUGAACAGUAUUUCCGGGAUGAAAGUGGUCUCAACCGUAAGAACAUUCAGGAUAACAGGGUGCACUGCUGUCUCUACUUCAUCUCUCCCUUUGGCCAUGGGCUCCGACCCUUAGAUGUGGAGUUCAUGAGGGCCCUGCAUCAUCGAGUCAACAUUGUGCCCAUCUUGGCCAAGGCUGACACACUGACACCCUGUGAAGUAGAGCACAAGAAACGAAAGAUUCGAGAAGAAAUCGAGCACUUUGGAAUCCAGAUCUACCAAUUCCCAGCCUGUGACUCUGAUGAAGAUGAGGAAUUCAAGUUACAGGACCAGGCCCUGAAGGACAGUAUCCCUUUUGCUGUCAUCGGCAGCAACACCGUGGUGGAAGCCAAAGGGCGGCGUGUUCGGGGACGGCUCUAUCCUUGGGGUAUUGUAGAAGUGGAAAAUCCAGGACACUGUGACUUUGUGAAGCUGAGGACCAUGCUGGUACGCACCCACAUGCAGGAUCUUAAGGAUGUGACAAGGGAAAUACAUUAUGAGAACUAUCGGGCACAAUGCAUCCAGAGCAUGACUCGAAUGGUGGUGAAGGAAAGAAAUCGCAAGUAUGGCCAGGAAGGGGGCCUGGGGGGAGGGCAGACGGGACGGGAAGAGCCAACCCCAGGAGCCCAAGCAGAGCUGUUGGCAGGUGUGGAUGGGAGCAGGCCCUCCACACCUGCUCCUUCAGGCCUUAGGGCCGAAUCCAGGCAGGGGCCUGGCAUCUCCUUGCCCUCACUGGCACCCAUUUCCCCUGACCUCUCAGCAAGCUGACUCGGGAGAGUGUUACUGACUUCGCCAUCCCAGCAUUCCUGUCUGGGGUUGAUGUAGAGGCUGAGAAGCUGCUCCGGGAGAAAGAUGAGGAGUUGCGAAGGAUGCAGGAGAUGCUGUAUAAAAUUCAGAGACAGAAGAAGAACUAGUUAGUUCCCUUGCCUUGGAUGUAUGUCUCCUCCUCUUUCUCCCGGUCCUUCCCAGCUCUUGAUCUGCUCUGGCCCCUCAAGCUACUGCCACUUCGCCUUAUGUCCCUGCUGCCUCCCUAGAGACUCAAAAGAAAUAAAGUCUAAUGAAUCGGAAUCUGAC